AGAUGAACAUUGUGGGAGUUGGAGUUUAAAAAAGGAGAAAUCAAGCAAAGGUAUUGGAAUCAACAUUUAGGGAAAGAGGAAUCAUUUGUAGUCAUGAGCAAUCAGGAAAGACCUCCAGGAGUAGGUGGGAACUUUCCACUUUUCACCUUACUCAGUAGAACAUAUGUUCCUCAAGAGCUGGGACUGUCUCAGUUUUGUCUUAUAUCCAGAUCCUAGCACAGUGGCUGACACAUAGUAAAUGCUCAGUAAAUGCUUUUUGACCGAGUAAUUGAUAUAUUAAAGGAAGGGGAGAGUUUUCAACAGAGAAAUAUGAUAGAACUGGGGUAAAAGUCUGGUGCGAGAAAGGAAGAGAGAGAUGAGAACAAGGGACAAAGCAGUAGAAUUUGAAGUCUAUGAAAGAAAUUUUGGGAAAUAUGGCUGAAAAGGGAAGACAUAAAGGACUUUAAAUAACAGGUUCUUUCCAACAGGGCAGUACAAAACAGAGUAUAUGUAGAACUCUGUGAUCUGUCAGUCUGUGGGGUAGGGAUGUCCCUGGACAUUUCUUUCAUUUUCCAACCUCCAUCCUUUGUUCAGGCUAUACCCCUCAGUUUAGAAUAUGCUCUUCCUUCUUCACCAAAUCCCACCUGCUCUUCCAACUCACAUCUUUUUUUCUUCCCCUGCCCACUAUGGAGCAAUGCUCUGCUCUCUUCCCCUGGUGAGAUGACAUGCUUCCUCUUUUCAAUUACAACUUAACAAGGCUAGUCGUGCAACAGCCCGUUGUGUGUGCUCAACAGCUUUCCAACUUGGUGGGAUCUGCCAAAGGUCUCACUCUACUAAGAUAACUUUGAGAGCCCAGGGUCAUUUUCACAAAAUGAAAAAAUAUUUGUUAAUUGACUGUCUGACUCCAUUGGCUGAUGUUCAAUCUUUUCCACAAUAAGGUCUGGAGAAGUCUGAAGAUGCUGUGGCUUCUACUGGUGUUGUUGGGGGUACAAACGGAGGCAGUAACUCCUGGAAUAAAAGUGAAGAUCACCAAAAAGGGCUUGGACUAUGGGAAGCAGGUUGGAAUGGAGUUUCUGAAGUCGACUAUGCUGCACACGCCUAUCCCAGACUACCAGAGCAGCUACUCAGUGCCCAUAAUGGGGUCUAUGAAAUAUGAAGUGACAGGGUAAGAGGAUGAAAAUCAAGAGUCUUCCCACCAACUGUUCCCUGUAAUCUCAACCUUUCCUGAUCUCCCAGCCUCUCCUUCACUCCACUCAAAUCCUUCCAUGGAUAUCUGAUUUUGUCCUUAGUUACCUUGCUUCCCCCUCCCUGACAUUUCUCCUAAAUACUCUAGGUUUUGAUUAAAAACUCAAAAAUAUCACAGUUGGAAGGAACAUUUAAACAGAGAAGUUCUUACUUAGGCAGUGUGGUAUAAUAGGAAGCUGCUGAAAUUAGUUAGGAGACCAGCCUCCUCCAUUUAUUUGUGUGAUUGUGGACAAGUCAAAUAACCUCAGUUUCCUUAUCUGUAAAACAGGCAUAAUAAGAUAAGGCUAUCUACCCACAAAGAGUUAUUGGGAAGGGAAUGUUUUACAAACCUUAAAGUACUAUACACA
rnacentral:lncRNA from 1 species